GCCAGGUGCGGUGGUGCGCACCUGUAAUCUCAGCUACUCAGGAGGCUGAGACAGGAGAAUCACUUGAACCCAGGAGGUGGAGGUUGUAGUGAGUUGAGAUUGUGCCACUGCACUCCAGCCUGGGUGACAGAGUGAGACUCUGUCUCAA
rnacentral:SRP_RNA from 1 species